GGGUUGUGAGGUUAAGCGACUAAGCGUACACGGUGGAUGCCCUGGCAGUCAGAGGCGAUGAAGGACGUGCUAAUCUGCGAUAAGCGUCGGUAAGGUGAUAUGAACCGUUAUAACCGGCGAUUUCCGAAUGGGGAAACCCAGUGUGAUUCGUCACACUAUCAUUAACUGAAUCCAUAGGUUAAUGAGGCGAACCGGGGGAACUGAAACAUCUAAGUACCCCGAGGAAAAGAAAUCAACCGAGAUUCCCCCAGUAGCGGCGAGCGAACGGGGAGGAGCCCAGAGCCUGAAUCAGUGUGUGUGUUAGUGGAAGCGUCUGGAAAGGCGCGCGAUACAGGGUGACAGCCCCGUACACAAAAAUGCACAUAUUGUGAGCUCGAUGAGUAGGGCGGGACACGUGGUAUCCUGUCUGAAUAUGGGGGGACCAUCCUCCAAGGCUAAAUACUCCUGACUGACCGAUAGUGAACCAGUACCGUGAGGGAAAGGCGAAAAGAACCCCGGCGAGGGGAGUGAAAAAGAACCUGAAACCGUGUACGUACAAGCAGUGGGAGCACGCUUCGGCGUGUGACUGCGUACCUUUUGUAUAAUGGGUCAGCGACUUAUAUUCUGUAGCAAGGUUAACCGAAUAGGGGAGCCGAAGGGAAACCGAGUCUUAACUGGGCGUUAAGUUGCAGGGUAUAGACCCGAAACCCGGUGAUCUAGCCAUGGGCAGGUUGAAGGUUGGGUAACACUAACUGGAGGACCGAACCGACUAAUGUUGAAAAAUUAGCGGAUGACUUGUGGCUGGGGGUGAAAGGCCAAUCAAACCGGGAGAUAGCUGGUUCUCCCCGAAAGCUAUUUAGGUAGCGCCUCGUGAAUUCAUCUCCGGGGGUAGAGCACUGUUUCGGCAAGGGGGUCAUCCCGACUUACCAACCCGAUGCAAACUGCGAAUACCGGAGAAUGUUAUCACGGGAGACACACGGCGGGUGCUAACGUCCGUCGUGAAGAGGGAAACAACCCAGACCGCCAGCUAAGGUCCCAAAGUCAUGGUUAAGUGGGAAACGAUGUGGGAAGGCCCAGACAGCCAGGAUGUUGGCUUAGAAGCAGCCAUCAUUUAAAGAAAGCGUAAUAGCUCACUGGUCGAGUCGGCCUGCGCGGAAGAUGUAACGGGGCUAAACCAUGCACCGAAGCUGCGGCAGCGACGCUGAUGCGUUGUUGGGUAGGGGAGCGUUCUGUAAGCCUGCGAAGGUGUGCUGUGAGGCAUGCUGGAGGUAUCAGAAGUGCGAAUGCUGACAUAAGUAACGAUAAAGCGGGUGAAAAGCCCGCUCGCCGGAAGACCAAGGGUUCCUGUCCAACGUUAAUCGGGGCAGGGUGAGUCGACCCCUAAGGCGAGGCCGAAAGGCGUAGUCGAUGGGAAACAGGUUAAUAUUCCUGUACUUGGUGUUACUGCGAAGGGGGGACGGAGAAGGCUAUGUUGGCCGGGCGACGGUUGUCCCGGUUUAAGCGUGUAGGCUGGUUUUCCAGGCAAAUCCGGAAAAUCAAGGCUGAGGCGUGAUGACGAGGCACUACGGUGCUGAAGCAACAAAUGCCCUGCUUCCAGGAAAAGCCUCUAAGCAUCAGGUAACAUCAAAUCGUACCCCAAACCGACACAGGUGGUCAGGUAGAGAAUACCAAGGCGCUUGAGAGAACUCGGGUGAAGGAACUAGGCAAAAUGGUGCCGUAACUUCGGGAGAAGGCACGCUGAUAUGUAGGUGAAGUCCCUCGCGGAUGGAGCUGAAAUCAGUCGAAGAUACCAGCUGGCUGCAACUGUUUAUUAAAAACACAGCACUGUGCAAACACGAAAGUGGACGUAUACGGUGUGACGCCUGCCCGGUGCCGGAAGGUUAAUUGAUGGGGUCAGCGCAAGCGAAGCUCUUGAUCGAAGCCCCGGUAAACGGCGGCCGUAACUAUAACGGUCCUAAGGUAGCGAAAUUCCUUGUCGGGUAAGUUCCGACCUGCACGAAUGGCGUAAUGAUGGCCAGGCUGUCUCCACCCGAGACUCAGUGAAAUUGAACUCGCUGUGAAGAUGCAGUGUACCCGCGGCAAGACGGAAAGACCCCGUGAACCUUUACUAUAGCUUGACACUGAACAUUGAGCCUUGAUGUGUAGGAUAGGUGGGAGGCUUUGAAGUGUGGACGCCAGUCUGCAUGGAGCCGACCUUGAAAUACCACCCUUUAAUGUUUGAUGUUCUAACGUUGACCCGUAAUCCGGGUUGCGGACAGUGUCUGGUGGGUAGUUUGACUGGGGCGGUCUCCUCCUAAAGAGUAACGGAGGAGCACGAAGGUUGGCUAAUCCUGGUCGGACAUCAGGAGGUUAGUGCAAUGGCAUAAGCCAGCUUGACUGCGAGCGUGACGGCGCGAGCAGGUGCGAAAGCAGGUCAUAGUGAUCCGGUGGUUCUGAAUGGAAGGGCCAUCGCUCAACGGAUAAAAGGUACUCCGGGGAUAACAGGCUGAUACCGCCCAAGAGUUCAUAUCGACGGCGGUGUUUGGCACCUCGAUGUCGGCUCAUCACAUCCUGGGGCUGAAGUAGGUCCCAAGGGUAUGGCUGUUCGCCAUUUAAAGUGGUACGCGAGCUGGGUUUAGAACGUCGUGAGACAGUUCGGUCCCUAUCUGCCGUGGGCGCUGGAGAACUGAGGGGGGCUGCUCCUAGUACGAGAGGACCGGAGUGGACGCAUCACUGGUGUUCGGGUUGUCAUGCCAAUGGCACUGCCCGGUAGCUAAAUGCGGAAGAGAUAAGUGCUGAAAGCAUCUAAGCACGAAACUUGCCCCGAGAUGAGUUCUCCCUGACCCUUUAAGGGUCCUGAAGGAACGUUGAAGACGACGACGUUGAUAGGCCGGGUGUGUAAGCGCAGCGAUGCGUUGAGCUAACCGGUACUAAUGAACCGUGAGGCUUAACCUUACAACGCCGAAGCUGUU
rnacentral:rRNA from 1 species